GAUCCGGGGGGGCGGUCCGCCUCACGGCGAGUACUGCUCCGCCAGGUCUUACCUCUUGGUGAGCCGGCAUGCCCUUCGCUGGGUGUGUCGAGGAACCAGGACUGUUACCUUGAGAAAAUUAGAGUGUUCAAAGCAGGCCUGCGCCUGAAUACGUUAGCAUGGAAUAAUAGAAUAGGACGUGCGGUUCUAUUUUGUUGGUUUCUAGAGUCGCCGUA
rnacentral:rRNA from 1 species